rnacentral:ncRNA from 1 species
UGAGUAGUUUGAUUUUGGCUUAUAAAUAGUAGGUGAAAUUAAGUUAUCAUAGCAGUUUUGCGUAUGGGCCUGUGGUUAAAGACUUAGGGUAUAGAUUUUGUUGUUAGGGUUUUCUUUUGAUUAGGAGGUUUGCUAGUGAAGAAUUUUAAUUAAUUAAGGAGACUUAGAUUUAUUUGGUUUUGUUUGGGAGAUGGCUAAGAUUGUGCCAGCAGCUGCGGUUACACAAUUUUCUCUGAUUAUUUUAGGUUCGUUGUAAUUUUUGUAUAGAAAGUUAUUUGUUACAAAUUUGGUUUAAAAGAAGGUGGAAUUUAAUUGAAUAAGAUUUACCUUUGUGUAAAUAAAAGGUUAUAAAAAUGAAAAUUAAGCGGGAAACUAGGAUUAGAUACCCUACUAUUCUUAAUUGUAAAUAGGUAAAACGGAGAGUAAGAAUGAAAAUUUUAAACUCAAAAAAUUUGGCGGCUUUUUCGAACCAGGGGAACUUGUUAUUUAAUAUGAUAACCCACAGUUUAUCUUACUUUUUUUUAUGGUAUGUGUAUUUUCGUUGUUUGCUUAUUUUUAAGAAGGGAAAGGAAAAAGCGAAAGUUAGAGUUAACAAAUUUCAGAUUAAAUGCAGCUAAUGGAGAAGUAGAAAUGAGUUACAUUGUGAGAGAAGAAAGUUAGAAAGUAUUUGGAAAAAUGGUUAUAAGGAGGACUUGGAAGUAAGAAUUAGAACACGGUUUUUCUGAAAUAAAGAUAGGGAAGUGCACAUAUCGCCCGUCGCUCUCAAAAAUGAUGAGAUAAGUCGUAACACAGUAAGGUUAGCGGAAGCUGGUCUUGGAAAAAUAG